CCUACGGGCGGCAGCAGUGGGGAAUAUUGCACAAUGGGCGCAAGCCUGAUGCAGCCAUGCCGCGUGUGUGAAGAAGGCUUUCGGGUUGUAAAGCACUUUCAGCGGGGAGGAAGGCGUUAAGGUUAAUAACCUUGGCGAUUGACGUUACCCGCAGAAGAAGCACCGGCUAACUCCGUGCCAGCAGCCGCGGUAAUACGGAGGGUGCAAGCGUUAAUCGGAAUUACUGGGCGUAAAGCGCACGCAGGCGGUCUGUCAAGUCGGAUGUGAAAUCCCCGGGCUCAACCUGGGAACUGCAUUCGAAACUGGCAGGCUAGAGUCUUGUAGAGGGGGGUAGAAUUCCAGGUGUAGCGGUGAAAUGCGUAGAGAUCUGGAGGAAUACCGGUGGCGAAGGCGGCCCCCUGGACAAAGACUGACGCUCAGGUGCGAAAGCGUGGGGAGCAAACAGGAUUAGAUACCCGUGUAGUC
rnacentral:rRNA from 1 species